UGGUGAGAGUGGGAACCCUUGUUUUGUUCUUGAUCUUAGAGGAAAAGCUUUCAGCUUUUCUUCAUUGAGUAUGAUAUUAGCCCAGGGCUUGUCAAAAAUGGCAUUUAUUAUUUUGUGGCCCAUUCCCUCUGUACCUAAUUUAUUGAGAGUUUUUUUUAAUCAUAAAAUAAUGUUGAAGUUUGUCAAAUAAUUUUUUUCUGCAUUUAUUGAGAUGAUCAUAUGUUUUUUGUCUUUCAUUCUGUCAAUUGGUUUACCACAUUUAUUUGUGAUGCUGAACCAUCCUUCCAUACCACUUAAUCAUGGUGUAUGAUCAUUUAAGUAUGCUGCUGAAUUUGCUUUGAUAAUAUUUUGUUGAGAGUCUUUCACAUUUAUGUUCAUUAGGGAUUUUGGCCUGUAAUUUCUUUUAUUGCGGCAUCUUAAUCUGGUUUUGAUAUUCAGGAUACAAAAUUAAUAUAAAAAAUCAGUUGCAUAGCUAUACACUAACAAAGAACUAUUUGAAAAAGAAGUUAAGAAAAUGAUCUUAUUUACAAACACAAGAAAAAGAAUAAAAUACUUAAAAGUAAAUUUGGUGAAGGAGCUGAAAGGUCUGUACACUAAAAGCUAUAAGAUAUUGAUAGAAGAAAUUGAAGAAGACACAAAUAAAUGGAAAUAUAUUUAAUCUUCAUGAAUAAGAAUAGUUAAUAUUAUUAAAAUGUCCAUAUUACCCAAGGUGAUCUACAAAUCAGUGCAAUUCUCAUCAAUAUUCCAAUGGCAUUUUUCAUAGAAAUAGAAAUACAAUCCUUAAAUCCACAUGGAACCACAAAAGAUUCCAAAUAGCCAAAGCAAUCUUGUAAAAGAAGAGUAAAGCUGGAGGCAUUACACUCCCAAAUUUCAAACUAUAUUACUAAGCUAUAGUAAUCAAAACAGUAUCGUUCUGGCUUAAAAGCAGAUGCAUAAACUAAUGGAACAGAAAGGGCAGCUCAGAAAUAACCCCAUGCAUAUAUGGUCUACUAAUCUUUAACAAGGGUGCCAAAAGUCCACAACAAAGAAAGGAAACUCUCUUAAAUAAAGGACACAGAAAAAUCUGAAUUAUCAACAUGCAAAAUAAUAAAAUUGAACCUUUAUCUUAUAGCAUAUAUAAAAAUCAAAAUAGAUAAAAGAUCUAAAUAUAAGACCUGAAACCAAAAAACUUCUAGAAUAUGGGAAAAAAGCCUUCUGGCAUUGGUCUUAUUAAUGAUUCUUUUAAUAUAAUACCCAAAAUAAAGUUAUCAAAAGCAAAAGUAAACUAGUGAGACUACAUCAAAAUAACAAGCUUCUGCAUGACAAAGAAAACAAUAAAAUAAAAAGGCAACUUACAGAAUGGGAGAAAAUAUUUGCAAACCAUGUAUCUUAUAAGGGAUUAAUCUCCAAAAUGUAUAAGGAACUCACACAACUCAAGAAAACAACCUUAUAAAAAAUCAGCAUAGGAUAAAUGAACAGACAUUUUUCCAAAGUAUACAAAUGGCCAACAGGUAUACAAAAAGAUGCUCAACAUAAUUAAUCAUCAAAAAAAUUAAAAUGAGAAAUACAAUUAGAUAUCAUUUUACACCUGUUGGAUGGCUAAUAUAAAAAUGUCAGGAGAUAACAAGUGUUGGCAAAGGUGUGGAGAAAAGGGAAGCUUCAUAUAUUUGAGUGGGAGUGCAAAUUAGUACAGCUAUUAUGGAAAGCAGUAUGGAGGUUCCUUAAAAAAUUAAAAAUAGAACUACUGUAUGAUUUAGAAAUCCCGCUUCUGUGUUUAUAUUUAAAAUAAAUUAAAUCAGUAUCUGGAAGAUAUAUCUACACCCUCAUGUUUAUUACAGCCCUAUCUACAAUAGUUAAUAUAUGGAAACAACCAUAGUGUUAAUCAUUGAAUGUAUGGAUAAAGAAAAUGUGGUAUAUACCAUGGGAUAUUAUUCAGCCAUAAAAAGGAAGAAAAUUCUGCUAUUUGUGACAAUAUAGAUGAACCUGCAAGACACUGUGUUAAGUGAAAUUAGCCAGGCACAGAAAGGCAAAUUUUGAAUGAUUUCACUUAUACUUGGAAUCUGUGAAAGUCUGACUUGUAGAAAGAGAGAGUGGCAUGGUAGUUGUCUGGGCCUGGCAAGUGGGGAAAAAGGGGAGAAGUUUAUUAAAGGUACAAGCUUUUCAUUAUAAGAUAAUUAAGUUUUAGGGAUCUCUUGUACAACAUGAGUACUGAUGGAUGCAUUAAUUUGAUUGGGACAAUCAAUGCAUAAUGUAUAUGUGUAUGAAAUCAUCAUGUUGUACAACUUCAAUAUACACAAUCUUUAUUUGCCAAUUAGAUAUUUUAAGAUAAAUAAAUAAGACAUGGAGAAAGAAAAAAAGCAAGAGAAAAAUGAAAUGUUAAAGAAUUGGAAAGGAAGAAAUGAAAUUGUCACAAUUUGCAGAUGACUGAUGCUGUUUGUAGAAUACCCUAAAGAAUCUAUGGACAUAUUUUCAGAACAUAUGAGUGAAGAAGCAAGUCAUCCAGAUUCAAGAUGAACAUACACACAUCAAUUGUGUUUCUAUAUACCAGAAGAGAUAGGAUAAAAUUAAAAAUUCAUAUAAAAUCAAUAUAGCAUCUGAAAUGGAGUAUUAUGAAUAAUUUAAUUACUUCUACACAGAAAACUUAUCAGUCAUUAUUGGGGAGAAUAGAAAACCUAAGUAAAUGGACAUAUAUAUAGUGGUUGUGAAUUAAAAACUCAAUAUUGUUUUUAAUGUCAACUUUGCUCAAAUUUAUUCUUACAUUCAAUGCAAUCUCAUUCAAAGUUGAUCAGAUUUUCUUGUUGAGAAUGCAAAGCUAAUUCAAAACUUUGUAGAACUCAGAAUAGCCAAGACAGUCUUUACGAGGUAAAAGAAAAGAGUUGGAAGAGUUUCACUAACACAUUAGUACUUUACUAUACAGUUACAGUAAUCAAGACAUUGUGAUAAUGAAACACAAACAAACAGACCAAUGUAAUAAAAUAGCAUCCAGAAAAACACCUGCACAUCUUCAUACUGCCACCUGAUUUAAAACAAAAUGCCACUUCAAUACAGUGGGAGAAAAGCUGGUCUUUUAAAUAAAUUAUGUUCGAGCAAUUAAAUAUGUGCAAAAAAUGAAUUUUGAUACCUAUCUCACAUUAUACACAGAGAUUAUUUUGUACAGAAUGUAGAUCUACAUGUCAAAAGUAAAACAAUGACUAUUCUAAAAGAAAUCCAAGAAGAAUAUCUUCAUGGGUUUUGGGUAGGCAAUUGUUUAUUUGGAGGACACUGUACUAACCAUAAAGGAAAAGAUUGGUAAAUUGUAGUACAUUAAAAUUGAGAACUAUUGUUCAUCAAAAGAUAUCACUCAAAUGUCAGAAAAUUCAGGUGACAGAGUGGAAGACUAUACUUAAAUGUAUAUAACUGAUAAAGCAUUCAUACUUAAAAAAUAUAUAUAUAAAUAUUCUACAUAUCAAUUAGAAGAAAAAAGUAAUCCAAUUUAAAAAAAAUGAGCAAAAAUGUUAAGUGCUCACAAAAGAAUAGCUCCAAAUGGCCAAUAAAUAUUUAAAAGGUGCUCAACUUUGAUCAUCAAAUGCCAUAGGUGUAGUAAGUGUUUUAAAAAGUGAGUAACCUUGUACAAUAAGUGUUUUAAAAGGUGAUCCACCUUAAGCGGCAAUACUUGUUUUAAAAGGUGAGCAACUUUAAAAGGUGCUUAGCUUUGGUCAUCAGUAAAAUACAAAUUUAAACAACAAUGUAAUUUUUUACACACCUGAUAAGAUGGCUAACAUAGAAAAUUACAGCAAUACAAAGGUAAUUGAAGAUGUGGAGCCAUUGGAAUUUCAUAUGGUGUUAGUGGAAGUGUAAAUUAUUGCAACCACUUUUGAAAACUGGCAAUACCUACUAAAGCUGAACAUGCAUAUUUCCUACAACUCUAUGACCUAUGCAUCUAAAACCUAGUAUAAGACUAUUUCAUAGCAUCACUGUUGGUAAUAGUCCACAUUAAAAACACCUCAAUUCCCAUCAACCAUAGAUAAAAGUAUGGCAUACACAUACAAUGGAGUACUAUAUAGCAUUAAACUAACAUAAAAAUUUCAAAUCUCACACAGAAAAGGAAGUUCAAAGCAGUUACUUUUAAAUGUUAAAGUCUUGAGUCCAAUGUUGAAUUUUAUUUUUGGUGAAAAGUUGGAUUUGACAUACUCUUAUAACCUAAAAUCAUCAAGCACUUUCUAUUGUCAUAUAUGUUAUACAUUGGGGAUAGUGUAAAGGGGAAUAAUUUUGGAGAAAAAUGCUCAAUACCUAUUUCUGAUAAAUGUUUUGUUUAAGUGUUAUACACAAGUCCAUGGAGAAAAUCAUGUUUCAUAAUAAAAUUAUCUUCUUCUUGUUAACAAAAGUUUAUUAGAUACAUGUUACUGAAUGUAAAUGGGCUAAAUGCCACAAUUAAAAGGCACAGAGUAGCAAGCUGGAUAAAAAACCAAUACCCAAUUGUAUGCUGUCUUCCAAAGACCCAUCUCACAUGCAAUGACACCUAUAGGCUUAAAAUAAAGAGAUGAAGGAAAAUCUCCAAACAAAUGGAGAACAGAAAAAAACAGGGGUCACAAUCCUAAUUUCAGAAAAAACAGGCUUUAAGCCAACGGAGAUCAAAAAGGAUACAAAAGGGCAUUACGUAAUGGUAAAGGGUUCAAUUCAACUGGAAGAUCUAACUAUCCUAAAUAUAUGUGCACCCAACAUAGGAACAUCCAGAUUCAUAAAGCAAUUUCUUAGAGACCUUCAAAGAGACUUAGACUCCCACACAAUACUAGUGGGAGACUUCAACACCCCACUGACUAGACAGAUCAUCAAGGCAGAAAAUUAAGAAAGACAUUCAGGACCUUAACUCAGCACUGGAUCAAAUGGACCUGAUAGACACCUAUAAAACUCUCCACUCCAAAACAACAGAAUAUACAUUCUUCAUUCAUCAAUAUACAUUCAUCACCACAUGGCACAUACUCUAAAACUGACCACACAACCAGACAUAGAACAAUCCUCAGCAAAUAAAAAAGAACUAAUAUACCAACCAUUCUUUUGGACCACAGUGCAAUAAUAUUAGAAAUCAAGACUAAGAAAAUUGCUCAAAACGAUACAAUUACAUGGAAAUUAAAAACCUGCUCCUGAAUGACUUUUGGAUAAAUAAUGAAAUUAAGGCAGAAAUUAAGAAGUUCCCUGAAACUAAUGAGAACAAAGAUAAAACAUACCAGAAUCUCUGGGACACAGCUAAGACAGUGGUAAGAGGGAAAUUUGUAGCACUAAAUGCCCACACCUGAAAGUUAGAAAGAUCUCAAUUUAACAACCUAACAUCACAAAUAAAAGAACUAGAGAACCAACAGCAAACCAAUCCCAAAGUUAGCAGGAGAAAAGAAAUAACCAAAAUCAGAGCUGAACUGAAGGAGAUUAAGAUGUGAAAAACCAUUCAAAAGAUCAAUAAAUUCAGGAGUUGGUGUUUGAAUAAGAUAAUAAAAUAGGCCACUAGCUAGACUAAUAAAAAAGAAAAGAGUUAAAAUCCAAAUAAACACAAUUAGAAAUGACAAAGGGUAUAUUAUCACUGACCACACAGAAAUAUAACUGUCAGAGACUACUAUUUUCCAAAAAUGUAAAAUGUAUAGCAUUUGUAUAACAGCUCAAAAGUGUAAGGCAAGUUAAAUUCUGUUUCAGCUGUUUAAAAUUGCAUAUUAAGUUGCUUUACUGUGAUUCCAAGCACCUUGACAUGAGAAAUGGUACUAUGACUUUCGUAUAUUUCUACACACUUGUAGUGAGCCUUAAGCCUAGUUUGAGAGAUAUGCUUUAAAAUAGCCAAUAAGAUUACAACUUAGUCAAAUAAGUUGUGAAGACUUUAUCUCUUACAUGCUUCUUAUUUAUAGAUUUUUUGUGCUAUUAUUUAACAAAUAGAUUAUGAACUAGAUGCUGAAAAGGAAGUUAUGCAAUUUCUGUUCAAUCUGUUUUUUAAAAAAACUGUCUAGCAAUUAAAUGAUCUGAGUGAAUUGGAGUUUAUGAUUCUAAUUUUACUUUUCUGUGUUGUCUCCUGAUUUUUUUGAGAAGCCAACUGAACGGUUUGAUAGUAGUUUAUAUUAUUGUGUAGGUAGUAUAUUCUAGGAGAUGUUUAGAAAUUUAAAACUCAUUAUAUCUAGUUUAAUUCCUAAUAUCUCCACGAAAUAGCUAAUGGGAUUUGAAUAAUGGCCUGUAUAAAUCAUACAUUUAUGCUUUAAUUAUUGCAUUACUUUAAUUCAUUCAUUUGUUCUUUUAGCCAUUAUAUAUUAUUUUCCCAUUAUGUGUCUAGCAUGGCUGUAGAUACUGAGAUUGCAGUGGUGAAUAAGCCAAUCAAGGCAUUGACUCUCCCCAGUUUCCAGCCUGGUAGAGGGCAAAAAUAUCAAGUAAAUGAGUAAGUAAGUAAACAGAUAACAGAUGGCAAUAAAUGUAUGAAGAAGAUUAAAAGGUGAUAUGAUAUAGAUAAGGACAUAUAGCUAAGAGGAGCUCUUGUUUUAACUGAGAUCUGAAUGAUAGUAAUUAACUAGCCAUAACAAGAUAAGAAGAAGCCCCUUUUCAGGCAGAAAACACAGCUAGUGUAAAAAGCCAAAGACGAAAAUCAGUUUAUCCUGUUCCAGGGAAACGAGAAGUUGAAUGUGCUUGAAAUGAGUGGGUAAUGUGAAGCAUAAGGCAAGAUAAGUUAAGGAGGCAGGCAGAAUUAAAUGAUUUAAGACUUUAUAAGCUAGGGAAAGAAUUCAUAUCUUAAGCGUAAUGGAAAACUACUAGAGUUUUUAAAAAUGUCUUUUAUGUAAACAGUGAAUUGUUCACGGUAAAAGUAAAGGCUGAGAGUUCAGCUAGGGUGUCCCUGUAGCGAUUCUGAUGAGAGAUAACAUUAGGUAAACAUAGAAGGUAAUGCAGAUGGAGAGAAGCAGAUAGUUUGGGAUUAUGUUUUUGAGGCAGAGUUGAAAAGGCUUUCAGACUGAUUAGAUGUGGGUAAGAGAGAAAAAUAAGAAAGAGAAUUUAUCUGCUUAAACAGCUUAUUGAAUGAUAGCACCAUGUAUUAAGAUGCAGAUCAGAGGAAAAAUUAGUUUUGGGGUGUUAUGACCACUUCCUAUUCAUCCCAUUGGUGAAGGAGGAAUCUCGUGCCCAAAAUUAUAGGAGAUGUUCAAGCACACAACCCCUGACACUGGACAGAUGAGAUCAUCCAGCCACAACACACUGCAUGCUGUGAAGGGCCACACAGGUGUUGCACUCAGGAGCUGAGUGAACUGGGCUGUGGGAGGCAGGCUUUGUUAGUAAUGGGAGGGUGAGAUGUCCCCUGGUUCCUGCAGAAGGAUUGGAUUGCUUUGCUUGAGUAAUUGUAUGGGUUGGCCGGGAGAUUAAACCUGUUAGGUUGAGGACAGGGUAGAAUGCAACAGCUGACGGAAGAACUAGCUGGGCAGAGAACAUUUCCUACUGAGUAGGGGCAUAUCUGGUGACAGCAAGAGAACUCACAGAUAGGCCUUUCGGGCCCUGUAAAGUUAAAAAUGUCAAGGCAGCACUUGAAAGUUUAGGUCUUACCCUACGUCGGGGAAAUUAAGGUCCCUUUGGCCAUGUUACAUUUGAGAUGACUGUAAAGACUGCAUCGAAGUGGAGACAUCAUGUUGUAUAUGUAAGUCUGAAACUGUGAGACAUCAGAAUUGGAGGUAAAGAUUUAGGCGAUAAGGACAUUUAACAUCAUGGGACUGAGUAGAAGAAUGUGUAGAUAGAGAAGAGAAAAGGUUGAGCUUUAGAUGCGUUUCAACAUUGAGAGUUGGAGCAGAGGAAAGGGAGCAUCAAGGAGACUUGGAAGAGUAGCUAUUGAGGUAGGAAGAAAACCAGGAAGGCGAAGUGUUAUGAGCUGAGAGAAGCAUUCCAAGAAGGAAGUGAUUAUUUCUGACAAAUGCUGCUGAGUUGUCAUAGAAGAUGAAAACAUUUACUUCAGACUGUUUACUACUGUUCGAUUCUAUUUUUCCUUUGAUUUUCUCUUCUCAGUCAUAAGUGGAAAUGGAAGGGAUUCAUUCAAAGGUAAAAUUCUGAGAUUUUGGAGGAAGAAGUUGGCCCAUAGAAGAAUCAUCCAGUUAGAACCCCAAGAUCAUUAUUUGGGGCAUCUAAUUAUUAAUGUGGGAUGCUUUAUAAAGUGUGUAUGGGGGUCUUGAAAGAUAAAGCCUGUGCCUCUCUCAGUGAAUUCUUAAAUUUUCCCUUCCUUCUGCAUUUUGAAUUUGAACCAAGAAAAUGGAACAACAUUGUAUGUUUCCAGUGAAGAUAAAAACAUCUGUUGAAUAUCUUGAGUCUAGAAAAUAACAUUGAAAAUAUAGUGGUUGAGGACCAAUUCCUCAUCCUGAAGUUUACAAUGUAAUGAAAAAAAGGAAAUGUAUAAUUUUAAUAAAAAUGCAUGCAUUGAAAUGUGGUGAGUAUGAACAUGUGCAGAUAAAAUUUAAAAUAAUAUUUAUGAGAAUGUACUAGUUUAUUGUAAUAAAGAAUGACUCAAUACAUGCCUACUAACUGUAGGCUCAGAGGAUAUUAGACUAAAUGAAAUUAGUCUACUGAUGUUUUCAUUGUUGAAUUUGUGAGCAUUCUACUAUUCCUUGAACAGGGUAGUUAAGCUCCAGCCAUAGAUUAUUUUCCCUGGCUCCUCCCUCUACCUAGAACACUCUUCUAACCAUGAUUCCCAGGGCUUAAGUACCUCACCUCCUUCAAGCCGUUGCACAAUUGUCAUUUUUUCUUUGAGUGCUAUUCUGACCAAUUAAUUUAAAAUCACAGUCUGCCCUUCCAGCCCUCCCAGAACCUCUUAGCUUGCUCUUUCUCUUCAGUUUGUUAUGUUUUUUCUUUAUUUUGUGUCUCCUGAUGCUGGACUACAAAAGAGCAAGGAUUUUCU
rnacentral:lncRNA from 10 species